rnacentral:rRNA from 1 species
GAUGAACGCUGGCGGCGUGCCUAAUACAUGCAAGUCGAGCGAACAGACCAGGAGCUUGCUCCUCUGACGUUAGCGGCGGAUAGGGGAGUAACAAGUGGACAACCAACCUAUAAGACUGGGAAAAAUUCGGGAAACAGAAGCUAAUAUCGGAUAAUAUAUUGUAACGCAUGGUUCAAUAGUGAAAGACGGUUUUGUUGUCACUCAUAGUUGUAUCCGCGCCGCAUUAGCUAGUUGGUGAGGUAAUGGCUUACCAAGGCAACGAUGCGUAGCCGACCUGAGAAGGUGAGCGGCCACACUGGAACUGAGACACGGUCCAGACUCCGACGGGUGGCAGAGGUAGGGAAUCUGCCGAAAUGGGCGAGAGCCGAACAGAGCAACACCGCGGGAGUGAUGAAGAUCAACGGAUCGUAGAACUCUGUUAGUAUUUAAAAAGAAAUGAUUAAGUAUAUAUGCACGUCUAGACAGGACCUAAUCAGAAAGGCACGGCUUAAUUCGUG